rnacentral:rRNA from 1 species
GUGGGGAAUAUUGCACAAUGGGGGAAACCCUGAUGCAGCAACGCCGCGUGAGUGAUGACGGCCUUCGGGUUGUAAAGCUCUGUCUUCAGGGACGAUAAUGACGGUACCUGAGGAGGAAGCCACGGCUAACUACGUGCCAGCAGCCGCGGUAAUACGUAGGUGGCGAGCGUUGUCCGGAUUUACUGGGCGUAAAGGGUGCGUAGGUGGUUUCUUAAGUCAGGAGUGAAAGGCUACGGCUCAACCGUAGUAAGCUCUUGAAACUGGGAAACUUGAGUGCAGGAGAGGAAAGUGGAAUUCCUAGUGUAGCGGUGAAAUGCGUAGAGAUUAGGAAGAACACCAGUGGCGAAGGCGGCUUUCUGGACUGUAACUGACACUGAGGCACGAAAGCGUGGGGAGCAAACAGGAUUAGAAACCCUAGUAGUCC